rnacentral:rRNA from 1 species
CAUGAAGCUGGAUUCGCUAGUAAUCGCGGAUCAGAAUGUCGCGGUGAAUACGUUCCCGGGUCUUGUACACACCGCCCGUCACACCAUGGGAGUCGGGAAUGCCCGAAGUCAGUGACCCAACCUAUUGGAGGGAGCUGCCGAAGGCAGGUCUGAUAACUGGGGUGAAGUCGUAACAAGGUAAC